AGCGAACGCUGGCGGCAGGCCUAACACAUGCAAGUCGAACGAAGUCUUCGGACUUAGUGGCGGACGGGUGAGUAACACGUGGGAACGUGCCUUUAGGUUCGGAAUAACUCAGGGAAACUUGUGCUAAUACCGAAUGUGCCCUUCGGGGGAAAGAUUUAUCGCCUUUAGAGCGGCCCGCGUCUGAUUAGCUAGUUGGUGAGGUAAAGGCUCACCAAGGCUACGAUCAGUAGCUGGUCUGAGAGGAUGACCAGCCACAUUGGGACUGAGACACGGCCCAAACUCCUACGGGAGGCAGCAGUGGGGAAUCUUGCGCAAUGGGCGAAAGCCUGACGCAGCCAUGCCGCGUGGAUGAUGAAGGUCUUAGGAUUGUAAAAUCCUUUCACCGGUGAAGGUAAUGACUGUAGCCGGAGAAGAAGCCCCGGCUAAUUUCGUGCCAGCCGCCGCAGUAAGAC
rnacentral:rRNA from 1 species